rnacentral:tRNA from 1 species
ACCUGGCUGGCUCAGUUGGUGGAGCAUGCAACUCUUGAUCUCAAGGUUGUGGGUUGGAACCCCACGUUGGGUA